GGCUGCCUGCCAGAAGUGGCUGAGAAGCUGGGAAGCUGAGAGGCUGGGCAACUUGAAGUAGUCUCAUCCAAGUAUCAACGUGCAGUUUCUGUUUGACUGCAGUAAAGAUCUUGUGACAAAUAUUUAUUGAGGCCUCCUUAAGUAUGCUCCACAGCAUAAAGAGAAGAAAGAAAUGUGGUUUGUCCCAGGGCAGUCGAGGGCUACUGUGGUAGACACACAGGCCGACAGCCAUGGGUGCCUUCUCUGCCGCGAGCCUGGAGGCUUGCUUACCAGUGGCCCAAGACUCCCAAGACAAGGUAGUGGGGAGGGGGACAGGGAGGCAGAGGCCAGCCUGAGGAUACUGUAAAGCAGGGGGCUACUGCUGCCCUGCCCACAGACCAGCUCCUCCAGGGCAUAGGACUCUCAGGGGAGUCUGUCCUCUGGGCCCAGGCCUUUGCUUCCAGCUUCCACCAUGGACCUUCACACAGCAACAACUCUAAAAUUCUGUGCUGCCGUGUCUGUCUUUUGUAACACCACAGAAGAGUUUCGUCUGGUUCUGUGCCAUGUGAUUGAAGUCAUUUAAGGAGCCAAAUCUUAUAAAAGGAGAAUAUUCCCUCUGCAGAGAACUUCUUGGAUUUCAAUCUCAGGCAAUUCAGUGGAGAGAAAAGUAAUACAAGAUUCUCUAAUCAGGAAUCUACCUAUCCCCAUGUAAAUUUCUGUCAAAAAUAAAAUAUUGGACUUGUGUAACAUUAGACUCUUUGGCGUUGUCAUUCUAAAUCUCUUAUGUAACAAAGUGGGGGAAUCAAUGAA